CCCCUAGUCCGUCUCUAACCUCCUAAACCCUAGAGAUUAGCCUCCCUUGUGCUCUCCGUUAACUUUACCGGCAACGAGGAUGCAAACCCCUACGAUGUAUCCCAGAUUAACACCAUAGUUUUCCCUCCGUCUCCUCUAUCCAAAUCCAACUUCAAUUUCCCUCAAAUCCCACCCUAGCUCCUCGAAUCUGCAAAAUCCUAGCGUCGCCACAUCUCCGGCGCCGCCGCCGCCUCCAAAUCACUUCAAAAUAACACACCAUAAAACUCCACAACCCCCUCACAACAAAUCCUUAUCCCAUUUCUUUCGAACAUUUCUGGAGUUUAUCGAAAAUCAAAUCGAAGAAUUGAGCCUUAUUUCCAAACGCAUAAUUCGACGGGCCUGAGAGGUUUUUAGACGGUUUUGAACAUUGCUCGUGUGUUUUCACAAGAUUAAAGUCUAAUCUGGUCAAAAAAUCAAAAGUUUUCUUCAUCCCGAGUCGUCCGUGCAACGUUAGUUAUUUCUUCACUUUUGUUUUGUUAGUUCUUCUCCGCUUCUCUUUUUGUUCUUUGUUGUCAUAUGCUUCUUCUUCCUUUUCUAGACUUCCGAUCUUACAAUGCUCUUAAACUCUUAUUUUUUCAUGUUUAAUUUUAAGGAGAUUUUCUGAUAAUUAGCUAACACCAAUAGCUUGUUUAGUCGUCUAGCUUCAAUUUCAUUAAGUGUUAGUUUUGUUAAUUGAAUCGAAUGGCUUCUGUUCUUGUAUUAUUUUUGAUUUUAGUUCGUUUUUUGUGUUCCCUAGUCCUUUAGAAAUCUCUUGUUCAGUUUCAAUUUCCAUUGAGUUUUCAUUAAUUCAGUGUUUAGUUCAUAAGUUUUCACAUGUUAUUGAUUAGUUUAGUUAAAUUUGAUUUGUUCUUCUGAUGAUCUUUUCACUGUUUUUAACCUUAGCAUAUUAGUGUUCAUUAAAAUUAAAGUCCAAUUUUCGUUUAAUUAGGUUGAGUAGUUCAGUGGUUAGUUUUUUCUUUUGUAAUUAGGAUUGUUUGGUUAUGGCUGAACCUGUUCAGCCCUCAGAUUGAUUAACCAUGAUCAAGUUAACAGGGCUGGGGUUUAGUUAAUACUAGAUUAGUAAAUUUCAGAUUAAAUAAAGGGUGGUAUAAGCAUUCCUAAAUGGAGAACAAUGCUGUAGUUGUAACUAGAACCUCCUAGAAUCUUCUAAAAGAGGGGUUUAGUUAGAAUUUCAGUAGUUUAGUGUUUAAUUUGAGAAAAAAGCCAAAAUCUUACGGACUAACUAAGCAAAAUAGUGAAAAUAAAAGAGGGACUAAGGGUGUAAACUGAAAAUCUGAGAAAAACCCUUAGUUUGGCCUAUAAAAGGCAUGCCCUAUGCUUCAUUUCACAAGUUUAGAAAUCUGAAAAUUUGAAUUUCAAAUUCAAAAACCAAAUCUGAAAUCUUAAAGUUAGAAAGUUCAUUUUAGAUCUUAGUUCUUCCAAAAACCCAAAAAACAACACAAUACUCGAAAAAAUACUGUUCUAUUAAGGAUUUCUUCACAGUAUUUUCGAGUUCCAGCUCUUGAGUUAAAUUCCUAGCUUAUCUAAAGUAUAAAAUGGAACUGAACACUUCCUAGUUUUCAGUGAUUGAGGUUUUAAAAAGUUUCUGGGUUAACUUCGAGCUGAAUUUGGUCUAUUCAAGUUGAUUUUGGUCUGGUUACGAUUUGCAUUAGUUGCUAGGUUCAUUUGAUUCGUUUAUGAGAUUCAAAGUUAAAAUUGCUACUGCUGUUACCUGCUGUUGAUUUCUCCUUUUUCUUAUUGUGUUCUAAUCUCCAGGUACAUGUCUCUACCUAAUAUGAUACGUGAGAUUUUGAGUUAGAUAUACAAACAAAUUUGAAGAAGAAAUAAAGUGCAGUUUGUUUAUCUUCACGUACCUCACACUAGUACGAAUGUUUGCAAUGAUUAUAUUCAUUUAGACUUUAGAUUGUUUGUCUAAUUAGGAUUGUCUGAACUAUUUCAAAUUUUAAUUACGGGAUUGAUUAUCAUUACUUAGACAUCCUGUUACUAAAGCAAGAUCCAAAAUAGUUAGUUCUAUUUAUUUUGUCAUGAAGCUCAAGCCUAGAAUGUGAUCUCAAUAGAGUUAGUUUCAAUUCUAUCCCUGGUGUUAGAACACCUGACCAUGAAUUCAAUUUUGAAAUACAACGUCCAUGUUUAUCCUUGAAAUUGAAGUGUUGCUAUGUAGCUAUAAAGGACCAAUUUAAGUUGAAUCUGCUCGUUAUUUUGUUCAUUACCAUCAGAAAUAACCAUUAGUAACUAAGAUCGAUUCCGAGUCCAUGAUUAAUUUAUUUUAUGUGUAUUGACCGACAUUGUGACACUGUUAGAUCCCCAGAUUCAACUACUAAUUCAUUAAGAAGCAAACAAGAUGAAAUGUACAUGAAAUUUGAAUCUCAAGGCAAUUGAAGGAUGGGAUUUUUACCUAUACAUCCCAUAUAACAAACCUUACUACCAUUAAUGUGCAUUGUUUGUUNN
rnacentral:lncRNA from 1 species